UGUAGUGACGAUGCUUUUUGCUAUCUUCUAACGUUUGUAGCAACAUCGGAAGCUAAGCAAAGCAUCUGCCUUUUUCACAACCAUGGAAGCGAAGCUUGAGCGUUUGAGUGUUGGUUGUGAAGGCUUAAUUGAGUUCGAAUCCCGAUGCGCCUCUAGUUCUCCUGCAUGAGGAAUUCUGUGAAUUCAUGGUGACACUACCUGGCUCUCGCCACGAAAAGAACCCGAUCCAUCUCCUACUCUGUCGCCUCUGCUUGCACCCCAACUCGAUCGAUACCUCCAGAGCUGAGGAGCUGCAAGGCAAGCAAUGCCCGACUCAAAAGGCCAUGGCAGGCUAGUGGACCAAAUCUUCUCAUGGUCCAUGAAGGAUGUGCUCAACCCUGAUUUCUUCCAGCACAAGGUGGAGAGGAUUCCCAUGACCUUCGAUACUGUCGAGAACUACUUGAGCUCUUUUACCUAUCCACUCUUGGAAGAACUACGCGAAGAAAUGUGCUCUAAUCUCCAAACCCUGUCUCGUGUUCCUUUUGUCAAAAUAAAGCGUCUCGAGUGCAGAAAUCGCGCAGAACAUAUAUACUUCAUGGUUGUUGAACCGUCGGCUGAUGAAACCAGAAGUGCAAGUGACUAUAAGCCGUGCAAAGGUGACAUUCUUAUCUUAUCGAACAGUAGGCCAAAAGAUGGGUGUAUUCCGAUGAUGGACCACGAAUCAUAUUGCCUUCUCGAGGUAGUUAAGGAUGAAUUUCAAUUGAUGGAACCUCAAUGUUCUAUAGUUAGAGCAUCAGGGUACAUCGAGGCUUCAAUAGAUAGCACUAAUUGCAAAGGAAAAAAAAGCCUUUUUGUGGUUUGUCUGUUGACCACCAUAACAUACUCUCGAAUCUGGGAUGCGUUGAAUUUUAAGCUUGCACAGAGUAGGAAUAUUGGUCUUAUUCACAAGGUGUUAGAUUUUGAUCCAGAGGAUGAAAUGGGUAGUGUUGCAUUUGCCUCCAAGCCUGAUGUUGGUGGUGUCCAAGACAUUGACAUUGGAUUGAGUUUAAGCAAAUUAUCACUGAAUGAGUCUCAGACCAAUGCCAUACUGAGUUGCUUACCGUCUGACAAAUGUCGCAAUGAUCAUCAAUCCAUAAGCCUUAUUUGGGGGCCUCCUGGUACUGGAAAGACCAAAACAAUCAGUGGUUUAGUGUGGUUAUUAGAUCAACUGAGAUGUAGGACACUUAUUUGCGCGACUACAAAUAAUGCUGUAACACAAGUUGCAUCGCGCUUCUUGAAGCUACUGAAGGAAUCCUCUGGGACCAGAUCAUACCGCUUGGGUGAUGUGGUUUUGUUUGGCAAUGAAGAAAGGUUGAGAUUUGGUGAUGAUCUGCAAGAUGUGUUUCUCAAAUACCGAGCAGAUAGGCUAAAAGGGUGCUUUGGAUUACAAACUGGCUGGAAAGAUUGCCUUAGAUCAUUACUAAAUUUCUUUGAACAUGCAACAUUGUUGUACACAAAUUAUUUGGAUGAAAAGAAAAUUGAGGAUGAGAAGGUCAAGAAUUUAAAUGAUAUAAAGGAUAGCAAAGGGGUUCAAAGAAUUACAAAUGCUGAGAAUCCAUCGAGUAAGAGUGAGGUGACUUUUCUAUCAUUCGUUAGGCAAAAAUUUGCAUCUCUUUUACAGAAAUCCAGAGAGUGUUUCAAUAGCUUGUGUGUUCAUAUGCCAGCAGCUGCUUUGUCGAAUUCUUGCUGUGAGCACAUAAAGGAUCUUCUUCGUUCGCUUGAAUGCUUUAACACUUUUCUCUCAAAGAAAGAUGGAGGCAAUAAUCUUGAGAAAGUAUUUGGAUCCAGUCUGUCUUUAUCUCAAAAUAACAAUUUAUUUGGUAGCAACACCAAUACCUUUAUCAUGCUACUUAAGAUGAAAAGACAAUGUUGUGACGAAAUAAAAUUACUCGAGCGGUCGUUACAUCUACCUUCACUCUUUGGCAAGCCCAUCAUGAAUUUCUGCUUGGAAACAGCCAACCUCGUUUUCUGUACAGCAUCAACGUCUGCCAAGAUACACAAAUUGGAUUUAAAGAAACCAUUUAAGAUUGUUAUUAUUGAUGAAGCAGCACAGAUAAAAGAAUGUGAAUCAUUAGUACCCUUGCAGAUCUCUUCUAUAAGCCAUGCUGUUCUUGUUGGUGAUGAAUGUCAAUUGCCUGCUCUUGUCAAAAGCAAGGUCUCAGAAAAUGCAAUGUUUGGUAGGAGUCUAUUUGAAAGGUUGAGUAAAUUAGGAUUCAAGAAACACCUUCUGAAUGUGCAGUAUCGCAUGCAUCCAUCUAUCAGCUUGUUUCCUCUUGAAAGAUUCUAUAACUCCAAAGUAAUCAAUGGACCAAAUGUCAUUAAGAAGGGCUACACAAGAAGAUUUCUUUCUGGAAAGAUGUUUGGAUCCUACUCUUUCAUAAAUAUUGUAGAUGGAACCGAGAGUUCUGACAGCCUUAGUCACAGUAAGAAAAACAACAUAGAAGUUGUUGUUAUCUUGCAAAUUCUUAGAAACCUUCGUACAGCAAUCAUGAAAAGUGAGAAAAUAAUUAGUGUUGGCAUUAUCUGUCCUUACUCUGCACAAGUUGUUGCUGUUGAGGAGCAGGUAAGGAAAAAGCUUUCAUCGAGCUCAAACCUGCUUGUUAAAGUUAGCACGGUCGAUGGGUUUCAAGGUAGUGAGGAAGAUGUUAUCAUACUUAGCACAGUGAGAUCGAAUGCUAAUGGUUCAAUUGGGUUCGUUUCUAAUCUUAAUCGCACAAAUGUUGCACUGACUAGAGCAAGAUAUUGCCUUUGGAUAUUGGGUAAUGAACCUACAUUAAGAAGUAGUCGAUCAAUAUUGGCAAAUAUAGUACAAGAUGCAAAGGCUCGUGGCUGCUUUUUUAAUGCUAUUGAGGAUAAGAGCAUUGCUAAAGCAAUCAAUAGAGCACAUUGUUCCCCAAGCGAUACAGAGUCCCUUAACUUCCACCGCCUAAACAUUAGUGAAAGUCCAAAGAAGGGUAAACAUAUGAUUCCAAACUCUAGUCAUUAUGGUAAUGCAUCGAAAUAUUCUGAAGCUUCUAAAGGAAAAAUGCCUCUCUCAAGGAACCUGAAUUCAAAUAGUUCAUGCAUCAAAGAGGAAUACAAGGAGUCAAUUCAUAAUAAAUCUACUAAAGCUAUCUAUCAGCCCAAAAUCCAUCUUGUGACUGAAGAAUGCAAAGACGAUAUUCUAAGAAUUCAUAAUUCUGGAGUAAAAUUGAUUGAAUACAAAGAGCCAAUCCAGAGAUAUGAAGAAGUUGUGCAGAUCUAUCAGCCUACAAAUCAUGAAUUCAGAGAUGACAUUGUUAAAAUUGAUACUGAAGAACCGAAAAUGAUGCCAGAUGAAUCUAAUGAUGUUGAUAGUUUUUGCUGCAUUCCCCUUAUUAGGAACCCUGCUGAUUUGAAUACUUUCCAACCACUCACCUUCUUGCGGGAACAAGUUUCGCAACUACUCACCUUCUUGUGGGAACAAAUAAGUCGGUCAUAAGGGAUGAUCAAAGGUUGAAAUAGUAUUCUACUGCUCGGUCUUGAUGCUCAGGAGGAUAUGCAGUUAAUUCACCCUCUCUUGCCGACCGCACUGGGACCAAUAAUUGGUAUCAGAGCCUAGACGCCUUAGAAGAAUUAACCGCCUAAAGCAACAAGAAGAUGGCUAGAGCAAGUAUUCAUCUACUGAAGUUCGAGGGAGACUUUGCUAUAUGGAAGAAAAAGAUAGAGGUAUUUUUUAAAAUGAAUUUUGAGAUUUUACUAACUAUAAAAUAUGGCUUUGUAGCACCUACAGAUCAGCAUGGAGCUGAAUAGGAAAAACACUACUGGACUAAUAAGGAGCAAGCAGACUUUGUGGCUAUUGGUAAAACAGAGUUUCAUCUACUCAAUGUUUUGCUAUCUUAAGAAGUCAAUUGGAUCAAAGCCUACGAGUCAAUCAAAGAACUCUAGGAGAAGUUCCUGGAGUUACACGAAGGAACCUCAGAGGUGAAGCUAGCAAGAAGAGAUCUACUCCGGAAUCAACUUAGCAACAUCCGACUUAAAGAAGGGGAAACAAUUGCUCAACUACACGUGAGACUCAAAGAAUUGAUCACUGGAAUCAUCAACCUCGGAGAGACGGUAACAAAUCGGGACUCUCUUUGAUAUGCCCUCAAUGUCUUCCUAAGAAUCCCAAACUGGACAUCCAUAGUAAAUUCAUUCUACAUUUCUAAGGAUCUUGAGGUAAGUACCUUAGAAAGUCUAUUUUCAACUUUAGAAUUACAUGAAACUCGAUGUGCAGGUUUAAGAAAUAAAAAACGAACUUAGAACCUAGCUUUCAAAGCUAAGAAGAUCGAGCAAGAAUCAUACUGCUCACUCGACCCGGAUUAAGAAGCAUAUAUGGUAAGAAAGUUCAAAAUAUUUUUUAGAUCUAAUAAGUUUAAUGAGUUGCAUGCCAAGAAAAAUCCAAGAGACAAAAGAAAGAUUAAAUUCUACAACUAUAAUGAAGAAAGACACAUCAAGGAGAACUUCCUAAAACUGAAGGAGAAGGACCAAAACAAAAGAUAAACGCAAACAAAACACAAGAAACCCUUAAGGAGACAUGAGGCGAAUCGUCGUCACUCGAAUUAGUGAUAGAAGUCUAUAUCGGACUUGCACUUAUGCCAAGUCAUCAAGAAGACAAAGAUGAAUCAAGCUCAUCUAAAAUGAGCAAUGAAAGCAUCGAUGAAGGAGGAGCUACUUCAAAAGAGUGCAACAAUGAAGGGGGAGACACAAGCUUAAGCACAUACAUGAUAAGUAA